rnacentral:rRNA from 1 species
UUGGAGGGCAAGUCUGGUGCCAGCAGCCGCGGUAAUUCCAGCUCCAAUAGCGUAUAUUAAAGUUGUUGCAGUUAAAAAGCUCGUAGUUGAACCUCGGGGUCUACCCAUUGGUCAGGCUUAAUUGUCUGCACUGGUGAGAUGGAUCUCUACCUUCUGAGGAACUUUCAUGCCAUUUAUUUGGUGUGAUGGGAAAUCAGGACUGUUACUUUGAAAAAAUUAGAGUGUUUAAAGCAGACUAUCGUCUGAAUACAUUAGCAUGGAAUAAUGAAAUAGGACGGACUGAUUCUAUUUCGUUGGUUUCUAGGAUCACCGUAAUGAUUAAUAGGGAUAGUUGGGGGCAUUAGUAUUCAAUUGUCAGAGGUGAAGUUCUUGGAUUUAUUGAAGACUAACUACUGCGAAAGCAUUUGCCAAGGAUGUUUUCAUUAAUCAAGAACGAAAGUUAGGGGAUCGAAGACGAUCAGAUACCGUCGUAGUCUUAACCAUAAACUAUGCCGACUAGGGAUCGGACGAAGUUAAUUUUAUAAUGACGCGUUCGGCACCUUACGGGAAACCAAAGUGUUUGGGUUC